AUUGAACGCUGGCGGCAGGCCUAACACAUGCAAGUCGAGCGGAUGAAGGGAGCUUGCUCCUGGAUUCAGCGGCGGACAGGUGAGUAAUGCCUAGGAAUCUGCCUGGUAGUGGGGGAUAACGUCCGGAAACGGGCGCUAAUACCGCAUACGUCCUGAGGGAGAAAGUGGGGGAUCUUCGGACCUCACGCUAUCAGAUGAGCCUAGGUCGGAUUAGCUAGUUGGUGGGGUAAAGGCCUACCAAGGCGACGAUCCGUAACUGGUCUGAGAGGAUGAUCAGUCACACUGGAACUGAGACACGGUCCAGACGCCUACGGGAGGCAGCAGUGGGGAAUAUUGGACAAUGGGCGAAAGCCUGAUCCAGCCAUGCCGCGUGUGUGAAGAAGGUCUUCGGAUUGUAAAGCACUUUAAGUUGGGAGGAAGGGCAGUAAGUUAAUACCUUGCUGUUUUGACGUUACCAACAGAAUAAGCACCGGCUAACUUCGUG
rnacentral:rRNA from 1 species